GGGAAGGUCAGUUACAGAACAGGUGACUCAGGAUGACUCAGGUCAGAGCAGGUGACCAGGGGUGUCUCAGGAUGGAGCAGGUGACCAGGGGUGACACAGGAUGGAGCAGGUGAUAGAGGCUAGGAGGGGGUUGUUUACUGAAACUAGGGGCAAGGAGAUGACGAGAACGAGAAAGUUAAACUUUAAAAUGAAGAACAAAGAACAGGGGAGCUGAACAUACUGAUAGAACUCUUUCAAGUCUACUUAGGAGAAACACAGUGGAAAUAAGAAUUUGCAGAGACAAGGAGAGAACAAGUAUGAUACUUUGUCUUUGGAAACAUCUGGUUUAAUCUUCAAAUUAUGUUACUAAGAGUUGUUUAUAUUUUCUUCUGAUAACUCUUGUUCAUUGUUUUACACUGCUGCACAAUAUCUAUUAAUAGAUGUGAACCUACUAUAAAUUACUUAUCUAUUGUCCAGUUCGUAUUUAAGAAUAUUUUAAGUUAUAAACUCUGCUAGUACAUAUACUGUUGUUAAGUCUUCUGAUAUUCUUGAGUUAAAAUUUUAUGUAUAUACAUAUGUAUCCCAGCCUUGGUUUAUGUUAAUGCUCAACACCGCCAAAGCUGCUGUACCAAUCAGCACUUUGGAAUCUGAUAAUACAUUCCUUCUUCAACCUGUGUUCUUGUCAGAUUUUUAAAAAAGGUCUUUGUUUAUCAAAUAUGUGCAGAUGCUAUUGUGGUCUUGAUUUUCCUUUUGCUUGUGACUAAUGCUAAUAAUAUUUUCCAAUGGGUGUUAGCUACAUGUGUUUCAUAUUUUGUGAAAAAUCUAUUCAAGUAUUUUACCCAGUUUCUUAUUGACUUAUUUUUCUCAAUUACUAGAAGUCUAUGUACUAUUGAUAUUAUCUAAUCUGUUAUUUUACUUGCUGCAAAUUUCUCCUCCACAUGUUACCUACGUACAACUCAUGCACUGCGUAACAGUAUUUUAGUCAACAACUAACUGCGUAUCCGCCAAUUGUCCCAUAAAAUUAUAAUGAGUAUACCAUGUAGCUUUGGUGUGUAGUAGGCUAUUUUAUUUAGGUUUGUUCUCACGGUGUAGAUGGUUGUGAAGUACACAGUAUGAUGUUUGCACAAUUGCAAAAGUGUUUAACGAUGUAUUUCUCAAAAUGUAUCUCCACCAUUAAGUGAUGCAUAACUGUAUCUUUCACUUUUUUUAAAGUGUGUUUUGAUGAACAGAGGUUUGCCAAUUUUAAUGGUAGCAAAUUUGCCAUCUAUUAUUACACUUUAAGCACUUUUGAUACCCCAUUUAAAAAUGUUUCCUUUAAUAACAAAUGAAAUUUAUUCAUAUGUUUUUCUAAAAAUUUAGUUUAUGAUUUCAGUUUUAAUUCAGAUUCAAUAUGUGCUUUCAUUUUCCCCAUCUACAUAAUCAUUUUCCUUAACCGAAUUUGUUGUACAGUACCCCUUGUGAUCUGUGAAGCUACAUCUGGAACAUACCAAUAUUUCAUUUGUACAUGGAUUUGUAUCUGGGCUUUAUUUUUAAUUCCCUUUGGAAAUUUAUUGUUCACUAUACAAAUACUGCAUCAAUUAAUUAAUAAAGCAUUAUAAUAAGAUUUUAUUUUAUUCUGGCAGAGGAAAUCCCCCUUUUUUAUUCUUUGUCUUUGGAAGUAAGUUGGCACAUCACCUAAAUUUCAGAUUAAACCAAUUUACACAAACAUGUUUAUCAUAACUUUUAGAGUUUUAUUUGGAAUGAAAUCAUAUCUCUGUAUCAACUUGAGGAGAAUUUGUAUUUGUUUGAUAUUAUCUUCUUAUCCACAAGCACUUGUCUUUUUCUUUUUGAUAAUUUCUUAUGUAAAGUUCCCACAUAUAUUUAUUUUAUUUAUCCCUAGAUAAUUUAUAAUUUAUAGGUGUUGUAGCAUUUGCAAAUAGUGUCUUUUAAAAAAUACGGAUUUUAUAUUCUCUUGCUUAGAUAAAAGAAUGCAAUUUAUAUGUUUAUGUGUG
rnacentral:lncRNA from 10 species